CUCCCCGUUCCGGCCCCAUCGCGGCUCCUCCUCCGCAAGGGGGGGGCGGGGAGUUCUCCCCCCGCCAGUCUGCCCAGCCCGACGCAUCCGGAGCCCCCCACGGCGCCCGGAUCACUCCACUGACCCCCCGCCCGCACCUGGAUCCCCCACGACCUCCGCUGCUCCAGCCCCACCCGCGGCUGCCUGCAGCGCUCCCCGCCCCGGGGCUCUCUCCGCCCGGGACCAGCGCAGCCCGGGCCCCGCCCGCAGCAGCUCCCGAGCCGGGCAAGGCGGGAAGUUUAUUCUCUGGGAUCAUGUUACUUCAAGAUUAACUGAUUUCCUGGGUUGCUGACAAAACUGCUUCAGUUUCCUUUGAUCCACCACUGGGGAUUAUUUUGUCAACCAUUGUUUUGCCGCUCUGUCCAGCAUCCUCAUGAGUAAGGAUGUCACCCCUUGUGUGUAGAACUUGGUUCCCAAAUGUUCACUCAAGGUCAGAUUUUUCAGGGCUUUUAAAUCUACCUUCUCUAAAAUCCUUCUCAAAGGCAAAUUUCUACUAAACCUUUUCUACAUUUUGAUAUACAAUCCCAUGAUAAAUUGACAGCCACAAGAAUUGAAAAAGAUAUUAAAUUAAACCCUAUACUUACUGGUUUUUGUUAUUUGUCCUCUUGCUUCUGAGACUCUAGGAUGCACUAGCUCCAUACACACACACACAUACUGUUACCUCCGUCAAAGAAUCCAUAUCCCCCAGGUGAUCUUACAUUUCUACAACAUUCAAUAUUGUGUUGGCCCUCCAGUGACAUGUGAUUUCUGCCCCCCGCCCCCACACACAACCUUGGAACUGAAAAAUGAUUAAAAAUCCUUAUUUUUGCUAGGUGUGGAGUGC